UACGGGGGGGCAAGCGUUGUUCGGAAUUACUGGGCGUAAAGGGCUCGUAGGCGGCCAACUAAGUCAGACGUGAAAUCCCCAGGCUCAACCUGGGAACUGCGUCUGAUACUGGAUGGCUUGAAUUCGGAGAGGAUGGCAGGAAUUCCAGGUGUAGCGGUGAAAUGCGUAGAUAUCAGGAAGAACACCGGUGGCGAAAGCGCUCUGGCCAGC
rnacentral:rRNA from 1 species